GCCUGGGUGGCUCAGCCAGCUGAGCGUCCGACUUCGGCUCAGGUGGCCAUCUCAAGGUUUGCGGGUUCGAGCCCCGCGUCGGGCU
rnacentral:tRNA from 1 species